UUGCUGAUCCAUGUUGCAAUGUGCAGACAGGAAAAAACCUUGCCCUCCUAAAUGAAAUGCUUGAGAAUACACUCUUCCUGAAGGAAAGAGGUUAGCACAUUCCUCCCGCUUAAGAUCCAGAUAGACUACACAUUGUUGCCGUGGAAGUCCAAAAUCAACCACCUUCACAGGUCGAUACUUGUAAGCACGUUCCACGAAACGAUGACUAGUGGAGGACGAGUCUUCUGCAGCUUGGCUUCGCUGACGAUGAGGAGCCUCAGCUUUAUAAAAGAGAGCCUCAAGCACAAGCUUG
rnacentral:misc_RNA from 1 species